rnacentral:rRNA from 1 species
CCUACGGGAGGCAGCAGUGAGGAAUAUUGGUCAAUGGGCGAGAGCCUGAACCAGCCAAGUCGCGUGAGGGAAGACGGUCCUAUGGAUUGUAAACCUCUUUUGUCGGGGAGCAAAAAGGCCUCGUGAGGCCACAAGUGAGAGUACCCGAAGAAAAAGCAUCGGCUAACUCCGUGCCAGCAGCCGCGGUAAAACGGGGGAGGCGAGCGUUAUCGGGCUUGAUUGGGUGUAAGGGGUGGGCGGGCGGAAGAUCAGGUCAGCGGGAAAAUUGAGAGGGUAACCCUCUGCGUGCCGUUGAAACUGGUUGUCUUGAGUGAGUGAGAGGUAUGCGGAAUGCGUGGUGUAGCGGUGAAAUGCGUAGAUAUCACGCAGAACUCCGAUGGCGAAGGCAGCAUACCGGCGCUCAACUGACGCUCAUGCACGAAAGUGUGGGUAUCGAACAGGAUUAGAUACCCGGGUAGUC